GAUUGAAGUGCACAUGUCAAGGCCGCCAUUAUCACCACAGAAGAAGUUCGCGGGAAAGUAAAUAAGUUAAAUAAAAGACUGGUCAACGAAGGUAUUCCCCCGUUACAGGCCGUACAGUGGCGUACAGUGGAAUUAACACAUAGCAUGGUCCCCGCAGAGUAUUAACCAUAUUUAAAGAAUGGAUUUAACUCUGAAUUCAGAGGGAAGGAAGGAAUACAAAAUUAUAAGGUAUUUAACUAGGGUAAGACCAGAGUUUUAUGAGUAUGCAGAUAGGGGGUCAACAUAAAAGCCUAUAGGGGGUGAACAGAAUAGCUGAUAGGGGUUGAACAGAAAAGACAAAAUGAUCAAAAAAAAUAAAGAAAAGAGAAUAACAAGUUGCUAAAAUAUAAAUACAUGUUAUUAAGGGGUACAAAUUAAAGAAUGCAGAAAUGAAUUACCCCCUUUCCACACCUUGAAUGGGGCAAUGACCCAGCUUUGAUUUAAUCUCUGCUUGGAUUAACAGAUUUAUGGAUUAAACUAAUCUAUUAUUUAGUUGAUUAUUCAGAUGUGAACUUUAACCGUGUUUUAGACAUAACUAAUAGUCUUGCUUUUUAUGCCCCAUUUAAGGGCAUUAUGUUUUCUGGUCUCUGUCCGUUCGUUCAUCUGUCCGUCUGUCCCACUUCAGGUUAAAGUUUUCGGUCGAGGUAGUUUUUGGUGAAGUUGAAGUCCAAUCAACUUGAAACUUGGUACAAAUGUUCCCAAUCAUAUGAUCUUUCUAA